UCGUUAAAAGAGCGAUUCGCUGCUCCGCAAAGAUGCGAAGUGUUUUACUUGGAUAGUUCCAAUGGUAGAUUUAUUUUAUUUUUUCACUGAAUAUCAUCUGUUUUCUUUUCCUUACAGAGGUGACUUAGCCGCAGGUUAUGAGGAUUUCUUUUUCCGGUUGCUGAUUGAAAUUUCUAGAAGUAAUUGGGUGCAAAUUUCUAUAUUGAAUUUUAUAAGUGAGGACUUAACCAACGUUAAUGGAAUUUUAGAUAAUUGAGCAUCAUAUAGCAUUUAUUAUUGUGGAAAAUUACGCCCGAUGGAUUCUGAUUUAGUGAGUGGACGGUGAAAAGCAGCGGACGAAACGAUCGAAAACUGUUUGCUCCGUUCAUUCUUGAUAUGAUUCUCGUAGCAGCAGCAGAUAUUAUCGACAACCGAAAACGAAGGAUGGUUUGCUGGUCAAGACAGUAAUUGGAGCGUCAGAAGGUGAUUGCUUGAAAGGGUGUGCAAGUACCUAAAAGUUGCAUCAAACCAAAACUAAAUUUGGCGUUUCUUCUAAUUAUGUGACGGAUCAACGAGCUUGGGCAAAACCUAAAUUAAUCCACCUAUCGGUCAGACCCAGCCUUUCUCAUUCAAACUUAUUAUUUGUAAAAAUAGAUUUACAUGAACGCUUCAAUCCAAUAAAUGUGUAUUCACUUUUUGGGUUCUAAAAUAAUGAUGUUGUAAUAUAAGUAUAAAAUAUGAAAUUUGACGUAAUGUAAAUGCUCAAUAAAUA